ensembl:lncRNA
CUCUUUUCAUGGUAGGCAUCCAAUUAGCCCAGUGCCACUUAUGAUGUCAUUCUUUCUUCCACCGUACUGACCUAGAGCUUAAGGAGUUCUGAUUGACAGUUAUUUUCUUUCAGCACAUUACCAAUAUGUUUCCAUUAUCUUCUGGAUUUUAUCUCUCCUAUUGGAAAGUCAGUGGGAGACAUUAGACUUCAAGCAAAUACAGUCAAGAAAUGCAUUGGUUUGCUCCAGAAAGGCGGAAUGACUCAAAGAUGUCUGGUCUUCCAGGUUACAGAUGAGUAGCUGAUUCUGGAGCCUAGGUUCUUGCUUCCUGGUCUGGCGAUGAGUCCUCCAUAGUCUGGUGAGUGUAGUGGCCAACUCUAAAGCCCAGGCUGUUGCUUCCCGGUCUGGCAAUGAAUCCUCAGUAGUCUGGAGGACAUCAUGGUGUAGCUGCAAAUUCCAGUUGAUCCCAACUAUCUGGUUAAAAAUGAGCUUCUGCUUGCUGCUUUCUAAAGAAGAAUGGCUUAGAAUGGAUGCGUUUCUGUGCUUUGGAGAAGCUUGUUACUGGUAGGUAAAACUUAGGUAAUAAAUUUCUCCAUAGCAGGAACCCUUCGAUGGUUAUAUAAACCACAUAUUACCU